AGAGCUUGCUCAGAUAUGACGAUGGACAUUGCAAAGAGUGGCGAACGGGUGAGUAACACGUGGGAAACCUACCUCUUAGCAGGGGAUAACAUUUGGAAACAGAUGCUAAUACCGUAUAACAAUGACAACCGCAUGGUUGUUAUUUAAAAGAUGGUUCUGCUAUCACUAAGAGAUGGUCCCGCGGUGCAUUAGCUAGUUGGUAAGGUAAUGGCUUACCAAGGCGAUGAUGCAUAGCCGAGUUGAGAGACUGAUCGGCCACAAUGGGACUGAGACACGGCCCAUACUCCUACGGGAGGCAGCAGUAGGGAAUCUUCCACAAUGGGCGAAAGCCUGAUGGAGCAACGCCGCGUGUGUGAUGAAGGGUUUCGGCUCGUAAAACACUGUUGUAAGAGAAGAAUGACAUUGAGAGUAACUGUUCAAUGUGUGACGGUAUCUUACCAGAAAGGAACGGCUAAAUACGUGCCAGCAGCCGCGGUAAUACGUAUGUUCCAAGCGUUAUCCGGAUUUAUUGGGCGUAAAGCGAGCGCAGACGGUUAUUUAAGUCUGAAGUGAAAGCCCUCAGCUCAACUGAGGAAUUGCUUUGGAAACUGGAUGACUUGAGUGCAGUAGAGGAAAGUGGAACUCCAUGUGUAGCGGUGAAAUGCGUAGAUAUAUGGAAGAACACCAGUGGCGAAGGCGGCUUUCUGGACUGUAACUGACGUUGAGGCUCGAAAGUGUGGGUAGCAAACAGGAUUAGAUACCCUGGUAGUCCACACCGUAAACGAUGAGUGCUAGGUGUUUGAGGGUUUCCGCCCUUAAGUGCCGCAGCUAACGCAUUAAGCACUCCGCCUGGGGAGUACGACCGCAAGGUUGAAACUCAAAGGAAUUGACGGGGACCCGCACAAGCGGUGGAGCAUGUGGUUUAAUUCGAAGCAACGCGAAGAACCUUACCAGGUCUUGACAUCCCUUGACAACUCCAGAGAUGGAGCGUUCCCUUCGGGGACAAGGUGACAGGUGGUGCAUGGUUGUCGUCAGCUCGUGUCGUGAGAUGUUGGGUUAAGUCCCGCAACGAGCGCAACCCUUAUUACUAGUUGCCAGCAUUCAGUUGGGCACUCUAGUGAGACUGCCGGUGACAAACCGGAGGAAGGUGGGGAUGACGUCAAAUCAUCAUGCCCCUUAUGACCUGGGCUACACACGUGCUACAAUGGCGUAUACAACGAGUUGCCAACCCGCGAGGGUGAGCUAAUCUCUUAAAGUACGUCUCAGUUCGGAUUGUAGGCUGCAACUCGCCUACAUGAAGUCGGAAUCGCUAGUAAUCGCGGAUCAGCACGCCGCGGUGAAUACGUUCCCGGGUCUUGUACACACCGCCCGUCACACCAUGAGAGUUUGUAACACCCAAAGCCGGUGG
rnacentral:rRNA from 1 species